UCCGUAGGUGAACCUGCGGAAGGAUCAUUACCGAGUGCGGGCCCUCUGGGUCCAACCUCCCAUCCGUGUCUAUCUGUACCCUGUUGCUUCGGCGUGGCCACGGCCCGCCAGAGACUAACAUUUGAACGCUGUCUGAAGUUUGCAGUCUGAGUUUUUAGUUAAACAAUCGUUAAAACUUUCAACAACGGAUCUCUUGGUUCCGGCAUCGAUGAAGAACGCAUCGAAAUGCGAUAAUUAAUGUGAAUUGCAGAAUUCAGUGAAUCAUCGAGUCUUUGAACGCACAUUGCGCCCCCUGGUAUUCCGGGGGGCAUGCCUGUCCGAGCGUCAUUGCUGCCCUCAAGCACGGCUUGUGUGUUGGGCUUCCGUCCCUGGCAACGGGGACGGGCCCAAAAGGCAGUGGCGGCACCAUGUCUGGUCCUCGAGCGUAUGGGGCUUUGUCACCCGCUCCCGUAGGUCCAGCUGGCAGCUAGCCUCGCAACCAAUCUUUUUAACCAGGUUGACCUCGGAUCAGGUAGGGAUACCCGCUGAACUUAAGCAUAUCAAUAAGCGGAGGA
rnacentral:rRNA from 1 species